UCGAACGAUGAAGCCCUUCGGGGUGGAUUAGUGGCGAACGGGUGAGUAACACGUGGGCAAUCUGCCCUUCACUCUGGGACAAGCCCUGGAAACGGGGUCUAAUACCGGAUAACACCGGCCUUCGCAUGGAGGCUGGUUGAAAGCUCCGGCGGUGAAGGAUGAGCCCGCGGCCUAUCAGCUUGUUGGUGGGGUAAUGGCCCACCAAGGCGACGACGGGUAGCCGGCCUGAGAGGGCGACCGGCCACACUGGGACUGAGACACGGCCCAGACUCCUACGGGAGGCAGCAGUGGGGAAUAUUGCACAAUGGGCGAAAGCCUGAUGCAGCGACGCCGCGUGAGGGAUGACGGCCUUCGGGUUGUAAACCUCUUUCAGCAGGGAAGAAGCGAAAGUGACGGUACCUGCAGAAGAAGCGCCGGCUAACUACGUGCCAGCAGCCGCGGUAAUACGUAGGGCGCAAGCGUUGUCCGGAAUUAUUGGGCGUAAAGAGCUCGUAGGCGGCUUGUCACGUCGGGUGUGAAAGCCCGGGGCUUAACCCCGGGUCUGCAUCCGAUACGGGCAGGCUAGAGUGUGGUAGGGGAGAUCGGAAUUCCUGGUGUAGCGGUGAAAUGCGCAGAUAUCAGGAGGAACACCGGUGGCGAAGGCGGAUCUCUGGGCCAUUACUGACGCUGAGGAGCGAAAGCGUGGGGAGCGAACAGGAUU
rnacentral:rRNA from 1 species